CUAAGCUACUAAGAGCAAACGGCGGAUGCCUUGGUGUCAAGUGAAGAAGAAAGACGUGGAAAGCUGCGAUAAGCCUCGGUUAGGAGCUAAACAUCCUUUGAUCCGGGGAUUUCUGAAUGGGGCAACCCGGCACGGUUAAUACCGUGUCAUGCCUUUCUGAAUAGAUAGGAAAGGCAAGGUAACGGGGAGAACUGAAACAUCUUAGUACCCCCAGGAAUAGAAAGUAAAAACGAUUCCCCAAGUAGCGGCGAGCGAACGGGGACCAGCCCAAACCGUUAACGUGUCAAGCCCGAAAGCGUUGCGUUAACGGGGUCGCGGGAUGCAAUUGGAUCCAGUUUCGGAUGGGUCAAUAAGUUACAAAAGAUAUCAUUAGCUGAACAAGCUGGAAAGCUUGACCAUAGCAGGUGACAGUCCUGUAAGUGAAAAUGAUCUCUCUUAUUUUUGCACUCCCAAGUACUGCGGAACACGAGGAACUCUGUGGGAAUUAGUGUGGACCAUCACAUAAGGCUAAAUACGACUUGACAACCGAUAGCGUACCAGUACCGUGAGGGAAAGGUGAAAAGUACCCCUGUUAGGGGAGUGAAAUAGUACCUGAAACCGUUUGCUUACAAGCUGUGGGAGCACUUUUGGUGUGACCGCGUGCCUUUUGCAUAAUGAGUCAGCGAGUUACUUAAUGCGGCAAGGUUAAGCCGAUAGGUGUAGCCGUAGCGAAAGCGAGUCUGAACAGGGCGCAAGUUGCAUUGAGUAGACCCGAAACCAGGUGAUCUAUCCAUGUCCAGGGUGAAGCGGGAGUAAAAUCUCGUGGAGGCCCGAACCGUCACAGGUUAAAAACUGUUCGGAUGAGGUGUGGAUAGGGGUGAAAGGCCAAACAAACCUGGAGAUAGCUGGUUCUCUCCGAAAUAUAUUUAGGUAUAGCCUCGUAUGUUUCUUUUUGGAGGUAGAGCACUGAAUGGGCUAGGGGUCUUACCAGAUUACCAAACCUAAUCAAACUUCGAAUACCAAAAAGUCAGAAUACGGGAGUCAGCCCGCGGGAGCUAAGUUCCGCGGACAAGAGGGAAACAACCCAGACCGCCAUCUAAGGUCCCCAAAUCUAUGCUAAGUGGAGAAGGAUGUGGGAAUGCCCAGACAACCAGGAGGUUGGCUUAGAAGCAGCCAUCCUUUAAAGAAAGCGUAAUAGCUCACUGGUCGAGUGGAUCUGCGCCGAAAAUGUAUCGGGGCUAAAGCAUAGUACCGAAGCUGCGGGCCAAGAAACAUUUAUGUUUCUUGACGGUAGGAGAGCGUUGUGUCGUCGCAGAAUCGCAACCGCGAGGUUGUGUGGAGAUGUCACAAGUGCCCAUGCUGACAUGAGUAGCGAUAAAGCGGGUGAGAGACCCGCUCGCCGAAAACCCAAGGUUUCCUGAGUAAAGCUAAUCUUCUCAGGGUUAGUCGAUCCCUAAGGCGAGGCCGAAAGGCGUAGUCGAUGGAAAACAGAUUAAUAUUUCUGUACCACCUUGUUAUCGUUUGAGAAACGGGGGGACGCAGGAGGGCAGGUCAUCCGUCUGUUGGAAUAGGCGGUUUAAGCUUGUAGGCUGAAGAUUCAGGCAAAUCCGGAUCUUUAAGGCCGAGAAGUGAUGACGAGGGAUUUAUCCCAUAAAGUGACUGUACCCAUGCUGCCAAGAAAAGCCUCUAUCGAGAUAACAGGUGAUCGUACCGUAAACCGACACAGGUAGGUGGGGAGAGUAUCCCAAGGCGCUUGAGAGAACCCUGGUUAAGGAACUCGGCAAAAUGAUACCGUAACUUCGGGAGAAGGUAUGCCCCUGACUGUUAGUAUUAUACUUUACAAAGCGGUUGGGGGCCGCAGAGAAUUGGUGGUAGCGACUGUUUACUAAAAACAUAGGACUCUGCAAAGUCGCAAGACGAGGUAUAGGGUCUGACGCCUGCCCGGUGCUGGAAGGUUAAGGGGAUUUGUUAGCUUUUAGCGAAGCAUUGAACUGAAGCCCCAGUAAACGGCGGCCGUAACUAUAACGGUCCUAAGGUAGCGAAAUUCCUUGUCGGGUAAGUUCCGACC
rnacentral:rRNA from 1 species